GAUCAUGGCUCAGGAUGAACGCUAGCGGCAGGCUUAACACAUGCAAGUCGAGGGGCAGCGGGCUGUAGCAAUACGGUGCCGGCGACCGGCGGACGGGUGCGUAACGCGUAUGCAACCUGCCCGGCACAGGGGAAUAGCCCGGCGAAAGCCGGAGUAAUGCCCCAUGGUUCCAACUUCCCGCAUGGGGAGUUGGAUAAACCCGCGAGGGGGUGCCGGAUGGGCAUGCGUGGCAUUAGGCAGUUGGCGGGGUAACGGCCCACCAAACCGACGAUGCCUAGGGGUCCUGAGAGGGAGGUCCCCCACAUUGGAACUGAGACACGGUCCAAACUCCUACGGGAGGCAGCAGUGAGGAAUAUUGGUCAAUGGAGGCAACUCUGAACCAGCCAUGCCGCGUGCAGGAAGACGGCCUUAUGGGUUGUAAACUGCUUUUGUUCGGGACGAGCAUGAAUACGCGUAUUCAAGUGACGGUACCGGAAGAAUAAGCACCGGCUAACUCCGUGCCAGCCGCCGC
rnacentral:rRNA from 1 species